GUGGGGAAUAUUGGACAAUGGGCGAAAGCCUGACGCAGCCAUGCCGCGUGAAUGAUGAAGGUCUUAGGAUUGUAAAAUUCUUUCACCGGGGACGAUAAUGACGGUACCCGGAGAAGAAGCCCCGGCUAACUUCGUGCCAGCAGCCGCGGUAAUACGAAGGGGGCUAGCGUUGCUCGGAAUUACUGGGCGUAAAGGGCGCGUAGGCGGACAGUUUAGUCAGAGGUGAAAGCCCAGGGCUCAACCUUGGAAUUGCCUUUGAUACUGGCUGUCUUGAGUACGGGAGAGGUGAGUGGAACUCCGAGUGUAGAGGUGAAAUUCGUAGAUAUUCGGAAGAACACCAGUGGCGAAGGCGACUCACUGGCCCGUUACUGACGCUGAGGCGCGAAAGCGUGGGGAGCAAACAGGAUUAGAAACCCCUGUAGUCC
rnacentral:rRNA from 1 species